rnacentral:tRNA from 1 species
AAGAUUUUAAGUUAAUAAAACUAAUAACCUUCAAAGUUAUAAUUACACUUUAAGUAAAUCUUA